AGAGUUUGAUCCUGGCUCAGGAUGAACGCUGGCGGCGUGCUUAACACAUGCAAGUCGAGCGAGAAUUAGUUACUGGAGGCUUCGGCCAAAGGUAACUGAGGAAANNCGGCGGACGGGUGAGUAACGCGUGGGUAACCUACCUUAUACAGGGGGAUAACAUAUUGAAAAGUAUGCUAAUACCGCAUAAGCGCACGAGAUCGCAUGAUCUAGUGUGAAAAGCCGAGACGGUAUAAGAUGGACCCGCGUCUGAUUAGCUAGUAGGUGAGGUAAUGGCUCACCUAGGCGACGAUCAGUAGCCGACCUGAGAGGGUGAACGGCCACAUUGGGACUGAGACACGGCCCAAACUCCUACGGGAGGCAGCAGUGGGGAAUAUUGCACAAUGGGCGAAAGCCUGAUGCAGCAACGCCGCGUGAGUGAUGAAGGUCUUCGGAUUGUAAACUCCUGUCUUCUGGGACGAUAAUGACGGUACCAGAGGAGGAAGCCACGGCUAACUACGUGCCAGCAGCCGCGGUAAUACGUAGGUGGCAAACGUUGUCCGGAAUUACUGGGCGUAAAGGGCGAGUAGGUGGUUUAUUAAGUCAGAAGUGAAAACUCCGGGCUCAACUCGGAGACUGCUCCUGAAACUGGUAGACUUGAGUGCAAGAGAGGGAAGUGGAAUUCCUAGUGUAGCGGUGAAAUGCGUAGAUAUUGGGAGGAACACCAGUGGCGAAGGCGACUUUCUGGACGAUAACUGACGCUGAGGCGCGAAAGCGUGGGGAGCAAACAGGAUUAGAUACCCUGGUAGUCCACGCUGUAAACGAUGGAUACUAGGUGUGGGAGGUAUCGACCCCUUCCGUGCCGGAGUUAACACAAUAAGUAUCCCACCUGGGGAGUACGGCCGCAAGGUUGAAACUCAAAGGAAUUGACGGGGGCCCGCACAAGCAGUGGAGUAUGUGGUUUAAUUCGAAGCAACGCGAAGAACCUUACCAGGGCUUGACAUGCCAUUGACCGGUCUAGAGAUAGGGCUUUCCUUCGGGCGCAAGGAGACAGGUGGUGCAUGGUUGUCGUCAGCUCGUGUCGUGAGAUGUUGGGUUAAGUCCCGCAACGAGCGCAACCCUUGUUGUUAGUUGCCAUCAUUAAGUUGGGGACUCUAGAGAGACUGCCGGUGAUAAACCGGAGGAAGGUGGGGAUGACGUCAAAUCAUCAUGCCCCUUAUGGCCUGGGCUACAAACGUAAUACAAUGGCGUAUACAAAGAGGGAGCUAAGGAGUAAUCCGGAGCGAAUCCUCAAAAAUAGUCCCAGUUCAGAUUGUGGGCUGAAACCCGCCCACAUGAAGUCGGAAUUGCUAGUAAUGGCAGGUCAGCAUACUGCGGUGAAUACGUUCCCGGGUCUUGUGCACACCGCCCGUCACACCAUGAGAGUCUGCAACACCCGAAGUCAGUAGCCUAACCGCAAGGAGGGCGCUGCCUAAGGUGGGGCCGAUGAUUGGGGUGAAGUCGUAACAAGGUAACC
rnacentral:rRNA from 1 species